rnacentral:rRNA from 1 species
GACAGAGGGUGCAAACGUUGUUCGGAAUUACUGGGCGUAAAGCGUGUGUAGGCGGCCGCGCAAGUCGGAUGUGAAAGCCCUGGGCUCAACUCAGGAAGUGCACCCGAUACUGCGUGGCUCGAGUACCGGAGAGGUUGGUGGAAUUCUCGGUGUAGAGGUGAAAUUCGUAGAUAUCGAGAGGAACACCUGUGGCGAAGGCGACCAUCUGGACGGAUACUGACGCUGAGACGCGAAAGCGUGGGUAGCAAACAGG